rnacentral:rRNA from 1 species
AGUGAACGCUGGCGGUAGGCCUAACACAUGCAAGUCGAACGGCAGCACAGUAAGAGCUUGCUCUUACGGGUGGCGAGUGGCGGACGGGUGAGGAAUACAUCGGAAUCUACUUUUUCGUGGGGGAUAACGUAGGGAAACUUACGCUAAUACCGCAUACGACCUACGGGUGAAAGCAGGGGAUCUUCGGACCUUGCGCGAUUGAAUGAGCCGACGUCGGAUUAGCUAGUUGGCGGGGUAAAGGCCCACCAAGGCGACGAUGCGUAGCUGGUCUGAGAGGAUGAUCAGCCACACUGGAACUGAGACACGGUCCAGACUCCUACGGGAGGCAGCAGUGGGGAAUAUUGGACAAUGGGCGCAAGCCUGAUCCAGCCAUACCGCGUGGGUGAAGAAGGCCUUCGGGUUGUAAAGCCCUUUUGUUGGGAAAGAAAAGCAGCAGGUUAAUACCCCGCUGUUCUGACGGUACCCAAAGAAUAAGCACCGGCUAACUUCGUG